AGAGUUUGAUUAUGGCUCAGGAUGAACGCUAGCGGCAGGCCUAAUACAUGCAAGUCGUACGGGAAUGCCCCUCGGGGGCAUGAGAGUGGUGGACGGGUGCGCAACGCGUAUGCAACCCACCGCCCCGUGGCGUACAGCCGGUGGAAACGCCGGGUGAUUCGCCGUGCGGCCCCGAGGGGGCAUCCCCCUUGGGGUGAAAGCCGGGAGGCGCGGGGUGACGGGCAUGCGUCCCAUUAGGUAGUCGGCGGGGUGACGGCCCACCGAGCCCACGAUGGGUAGGGGAUCUGAGAGGACGGUCCCCCACACUGGCACUGAGACACGGGCCAGACUCCUGCGGGAGGCAGCAGUAGGGGAUAUUGGGCAAUGGGGUGAACCCUGACCCAGCCAUGCCGCGUGAGGGAAGUAGGCCCUACGGGUCGUGAACCUCUUUUAUUCGGGGACAACGGCGGCCACGGGAUGGCCGCGUGAGGGUACCGAAGGAAUAAGCAUCGGCUAACUCCGUGCCAGCCGCCGC
rnacentral:rRNA from 1 species